GUAUACUAUAUAAAUGAAUUUAAUUUAGAAACUGAGAAGUAUACUAUUGUCUUGUUCGGGUGGAAUUCAGGACGUCAAUCGUACUCAGCACCAUCUAGAAAGUUAGAUGAAAAAAGGCCAAACUUUUCCUAUAUAAAUAGGUCUCAAUAUAACCCUAAGUGGCUUUUACGUUCUAACCCCUAAAUACGUAAAAAUUGAUGGUCUUGUACCUGACAGGACUCCUUCUAGGUAUGGCCUAAAUUUCUUAGGCAAGAAAUAUAUAUAUAUAUAUAUAUAUAUAUAUAUAUAUAUAUAUAUAUAUAUAUAUAUAUGAGGCUUUUGGAGGAUAACUAUGUAUUUAGUCUCUUAUAGUGGGGCUUAUGAGUAUUGUCUCUCUUAAAUUUUAAUUAGUAUUUCAGUACUUCAUAUGAUGGCCAUGCAUGUUUUCAUAAAUGAUCUCACACAUUUUUUGAAUGAUGAUGAGGAAGAAAAAAUCAGAAUAAGUUUAGCCACACAAAUAUUUUAGGAACAUGAGAAUUUAUACUUGAUA
rnacentral:lncRNA from 1 species